rnacentral:ncRNA from 1 species
AUAACUGGCUUGUGGCAGCGAAGCAUUCAUAGCAACAUCACUUUUUGAUCCUUCGAUGUCGGCUCUUCCUAUUAUUGUGAAGCAGAAUUCACCAAGCAUUGGAUUGUUCACCCACUAAUAGGGAACGUGAGCUGGGUUUUGACUGUCGUGAGACAGGUU